rnacentral:rRNA from 1 species
GCGAAUGGCUCAUUAAAUCAGUUAUCGUUUAUUUGAUAGUACCUUACUACUUGGAUAACCGUGGUAAUUCUAGAGCUAAUACAUGCUAAAAACCCCGACUUCGGAAGGGGUGUAUUUAUUAGAUAAAAAACCAACGCCCUUCGGGGCUUCUUGGUGAUUCAUGAUAACUUUACGGAUCGCAUGGCCUUGCGCCGGCGACGGUUCAUUCAAAUUUCUGCCCUAUCAACUUUCGAUGGUAAGGUAUUGGCUUACCAUGGUUUCAACGGGUAACGGGGAAUUAGGGUUCGAUUCCGGAGAGGGAGCCUGAGAAACGGCUACCACAUCCAAGGAAGGCAGCAGGCGCGCAAAUUACCCAAUCCCGACACGGGGAGGUAGUGACAAUAAAUACUGAUACAGGGCUCUUUUGGGUCUUGUAAUUGGAAUGAGUACAAUUUAAACCUCUUAACGAGGAACAAUUGGAGGGCAAGUCUGGUGCCAGCAGCCGCGGUAAUUCCAGCUCCAAUAGCGUAUAUUAAAGUUGUUGCAGUUAAAAAGCUCGUAGUUGAAACUUGGGUCUGGCUGGCAGGUCCGCCUCACCGCGUGUACUUGUCCGGCCGGGCCUUCCUUCUGGAGAACCUCAUGCCCUUCACUGGGCGUGUUGGGGACCAGGACUUUUACUUUGAAAAAAUUAGAGUGUUCAAAGCAGGCCUUUGCUCGAAUACGUUAGCAUGGAAUAAUAGAAUAGGACGUGCGGUCCUAUUUUGUUGGUUUCUAGGACCGCCGUAAUGAUUAAUAGGGACAGUCGGGGGCAUCAGUAUUCAAUUGUCAGAGGUGAAAUUCUUGGAUUUAUUGAAGACUAACUACUGCGAAAGCAUUUGCCAAGGAUGUUUUCAUUAAUCAGUGAACGAAAGUUAGGGGAUCGAAGACGAUCAGAUACCGUCGUAGUCUUAACCGUAAACUAUGCCGACUAGGGAUCGGGCGAUGUUCUUUUUCUGACUCGCU